rnacentral:lncRNA from 1 species
CCUGCGAGUCAUCCUGUACCUCAUAUCUCCAUGGAUCGACAUCCUCCAUACCUCUUGAACCAAGUCUCAAGAUCUUGGAUAAAAGAUCCAGAACGUCUCGAACCAAAAAGGGGCCUUAAGUCGGUCCAGGCGAUCUGUUGAAAUAAGAAUGGGACAGUGAUCCGAAACAAUCCUCAAUAUGUGCUGAACAGAAAACCUCGGAUAGCGCUGGAUCCAAUUAGCAAAAGUCAGUGUUCGAUCAAUCCUCUCCCAGAUCCGAGCAGACCCAUGCUGGCUG